rnacentral:rRNA from 1 species
AUUGAACGCUGGCGGCAGGCCUAACACAUGCAAGUCGAGCGGAUGAAGGGAGCUUGCUCCUGGAUUCAGCGGCGGACGGGUGAGUAAUGCCUAGGAAUCUGCCUGGUAGUGGGGGAUAACGUCCGGAAACGGGCGCUAAUACCGCAUACGUCCUGAGGGAGAAAGUGGGGGAUCUUCGGACCUCACGCUAUCAGAUGAGCCUAGGUCGGAUUAGCUAGUUGGUGGGGUAAAGGCCUACCAAGGCGACGAUCCGUAACUGGUCUGAGAGGAUGAUCAGUCACACUGGAACUGAGACACGGUCCAGACUCCUACGGGAGGCAGCAGUGGGGAAUAUUGGACAAUGGGCGAAAGCCUGAUCCAGCCAUGCCGCGUGUGUGAAGAAGGUCUUCGGAUUGUAAAGCACUUUAAGUUGGUAGGAAGGGCAGUAAGUUAAUACCUUGCUGUUUUGACGUUACCAACAGAAUAAGCACCGGCUAACUUCG